rnacentral:lncRNA from 1 species
CACCCCACGCAGGGAGGGAGAAGAACCUAGAACAAUGGUGUACAAGCUCUUAUCCAAGGAUCUGUAUUUGUUAACUAAUAGCCGUACCCCAGCCAAAUGUUGGUUCCCUCAGUGCUUAAGGCAGUAGUUAAAUCUGAGCUUGAUGUGCCUAUACACUCUAAAAAAACACCUGCCUUAGCUGACAAAUUAUAUGACUUGGAUCCUGAAUCAUGGAAUAUAUUAAGACUCCUACUAUAGACAGACCAGUUUUAAAUCUGUCAUUGUGACAUCUGGUCCCCAAGGAAGGAAAUGCUCAACUUCUGGACCCUACUGAUAGGAGAAUCGAAUUUGCCUUAUGCAAGACCCAUGAUGCAACGGCCCUCUCUAUGAGAGCUGCCUGCGUAGCAUCCUCACGCGCUCGAGCUUGAGGACUUGUUGCAAUCUCCUCCCCAAGAUCCAGCUCGACAGCACCAGAUUCUGACCAAACUCCUUAAAGCUCGAGCUUUUAUGGGAGACGCCUCCAUGGACCCCAUGCUGUUUGCAGCUGAAGCAAUGACAUCCUAGGUAGCUGCUAGGCGCACCCUGUGGCUAAAGCCCUGGGACGCUGAUGCUGCCUCUAAAGUAAACCUUUCCGCUGAACCUUUUUCAGGCGGUCAGCCGGAAUGGAGAAGCUACUGAGAGGGCCUGAAGCUCUGACAUCCACAGUCGGUGGGGCCAAAAAGAAGGGAGCAGAACCACCUCUGUCUUUUCCUGUCUGAUCUUGCGAAGGGCCGUGGAAGGAUGGAUUGAGGUGG